AGAGUUUGAUCCUGGCUCAGAUUGAACGCUGGCGGCAGGCCUAACACAUGCAAGUCGAGCGGUAGAGAGAAGCUUGCUUCUCUUGAGAGCGGCGGACGGGUGAGUAAUGCCUAGGAAUCUGCCUGGUAGUGGGGGAUAACGUUCGGAAACGGACGCUAAUACCGCAUACGUCCUACGGGAGAAAGCAGGGGACCUUCGGGCCUUGCGCUAUCAGAUGAGCCUAGGUCGGAUUAGCUAGUUGGUGAGGUAAUGGCUCACCAAGGCGACGAUCCGUAACUGGUCUGAGAGGAUGAUCAGUCACACUGGAACUGAGACACGGUCCAGACUCCUACGGGAGGCAGCAGUGGGGAAUAUUGGACAAUGGGCGAAAGCCUGAUCCAGCCAUGCCGCGUGUGUGAAGAAGGUCUUCGGAUUGUAAAGCACUUUAAGUUGGGAGGAAGGGCAGUAAAUUAAUACUUUGCUGUUUUGACGUUACCGACAGAAUAAGCACCGGCUAACUCUGUGCCAGCAGCCGCGGUAAUACAGAGGGUGCAAGCGUUAAUCGGAAUUACUGGGCGUAAAGCGCGCGUAGGUGGUUUGUUAAGUUGGAUGUGAAAUCCCCGGGCUCAACCUGGGAACUGCAUUCAAAACUGACUGACUAGAGUAUGGUAGAGGGUGGUGGAAUUUCCUGUGUAGCGGUGAAAUGCGUAGAUAUAGGAAGGAACACCAGUGGCGAAGGCGACCACCUGGACUAAUACUGACACUGAGGUGCGAAAGCGUGGAGAGCAAACAGGAUUAGAUACCCUGGUAGUCCACGCCGUAAACGAUGUCAACUAGCCGUUGGAAGCCUUGAGCUUUUAGUGGCGCAGCUAACGCAUUAAGUUGACCGCCUGGGGAGUACGGCCGCAAGGUUAAAACUCAAAUGAAUUGACGGGGGCCCGCACAAGCGGUGGAGCAUGUGGUUUAAUUCGAAGCAACGCGAAGAACCUUACCAGGCCUUGACAUCCAAUGAACUUUCUAGAGAUAGAUUGGUGCCUUCGGGAACAUUGAGACAGGUGCUGCAUGGCUGUCGUCAGCUCGUGUCGUGAGAUGUUGGGUUAAGUCCCGUAACGAGCGCAACCCUUGUCCUUAGUUACCAGCACGUAAUGGUGGGCACUCUAAGGAGACUGCCGGUGACAAACCGGAGGAAGGUGGGGAUGACGUCAAGUCAUCAUGGCCCUUACGGCCUGGGCUACACACGUGCUACAAUGGUCGGUACAGAGGGUUGCCAAGCCGCGAGGUGGAGCUAAUCCCAUAAAACCGAUCGUAGUCCGGAUCGCAGUCUGCAACUCGACUGCGUGAAGUCGGAAUCGCUAGUAAUCGCGAAUCAGAAUGUCGCGGUGAAUACGUUCCCGGGCCUUGUACUCACCGCCCGUC
rnacentral:rRNA from 1 species